AAUAGAUACCCGGGUAGUCCACGCCGUAAACGGUGGGGUACUAGGUGUGGGUUUCCUUCCUUGGGAUCCGUGCCGUAGCUAACGCAUUAAGUACCCCGCCUGGGGGAGUACGGCCGCAAGGCUAAAACUCAAAGGAAUUGACGGGGGGCCCGCACAAGCGGCGGAGCAUGUGGAUUAAUUCGAUGCAACGCGAAGAACCUUACCUGGGUUUGACAUGCACAGGGACGCCGGCAGAGAUGUCGGUUCCCUUGUGGCCUGUGUGCAGGUGGUGCAUGGCUGUCGUCAGCUCGUGUCGUGAGAUGUUGGGUUAAGUCCCGCAACGAGCGCAACCCUUGUCUCAUGUUGCCAGCACGUUAUGGUGGGGACUCGUGAGAGACUGCCGGGGUCAACUCGGAGGAAGGUGGGGAUGACGUCAAGUCAUCAUGCCCCUUAUGUCCAGGGCUUCACACAUGCUACAAUGGCCGGUACAAAGGGCUGCGAUGCCGUGAGGUGGAGCGAAUCCUUUCAAAGCCGGUCUCAGUUCGGAUCGGGGU
rnacentral:rRNA from 1 species